GACGAACGCUGGCGGCGUGCCUAACACAUGCAAGUCGAACGGUCCGGCACUCAACCGACCCUCAGUCUAACUGUAGGUGAAGUUGAGUGCCGGAUAGUGGCGGACGGGUGAGUAACGCGUGGGCAACCAACCCUGUACAGUGGGAUAACACCGGGAAACCGGUGCUAAUACCGCAUGACACCUAGAUGGUGCAUACUGUUUAGGUUAAAGGGCAAAACCGGUACGGGACGGGCCCGCGUCCCAUUAGCUGGUUGGUGAGGUAACGGCUCACCAAGGCGACGAUGGGUAGCCGACCUGAGAGGGUGGCCGGCCACACUGGGACUGAGACACGGCCCAGACUCCUACGGGAGGCAGCAGUGGGGAAUAUUGCGCAAUGGACGGAAGUCUGACGCAGCGACGCCGCGUGAGCGACGAAGGCCUCGGGUCGUAAAGCUCUGUUCUUGGGACGAAGGAAAUGACGGUACCCAAGGAGAAAGCCCCGGCUAACUACGUG
rnacentral:rRNA from 1 species